ACCGGACAUCAUGGUGUUCUGUUAUUCACCGUUCAAAGUUAUCAGAUCUCAUCCACGCACACACACGUCAUGUUUCAUGGCAGCUCAUACGGGAGAUCAACAAGCGUGAUUCCCAUGGUCCAGAUGUGAUGACGGGCGCAUGGCCGCCGGCAUGCACGACGACAAGCCGAACUUAGGUUUUGGGUCGCACGGUGGCUUCUUGGUCUGUCAAGCCGCCCAGGCGCACACAACACCACCAGAUGCGAUCUGCACCAGUGCAACUCGGAGCUACGAUUACGGCUCCACGCAUUGCUCUUGUGGUGCAUGUCUAGUUGAGGAGGACGAGGCAUGUACAGCCGGCGCUACACGGACGUAUUAUUGAUGAAUGGAUCAACUGAGGCACAUCGCUGGCGUCGUUCAUCAUGUUGUAUCUGCUACUGCCAACUGCGCACCCGAACCAAAACUAACAAGCUAUUAAGUCAAAGUCGUAGAUCUUUGUUGCCUGCAUACUUCCCUUUGAUGCAUGCAAGACACCAUGUCUCUAUGAUGUGUAUAUAGUACAAAUAGAAUGCAUGAACUCAUAGGAUACCAUGUUUAUA